AUUCCUUCCCCUCCCUUCUCUUGUAGAAGACCAGGAUGGGUAGACGACGACACGUACGAAGCACUUCUCCACAGGCACAGCCGCUGCGAUGCCAGCGAAUGCCUUUACCAUGGAGGCAGAGAGCAGGCAGAGAGGCGUGGGCCCUGGCAGCUGCUCCUGUGCAGCUCCUGCGCUGCUGAGGGCACCCACCGACAGUGCUCCCACUUGAGUAACACCACGGCCACGUGGGAGUGCGACGGCUGUGCUGGCCUGGGUACCAGCACCGCCUCCAGCGCCAACACCGAGCUCGCUGGUCCCAGCACUGCCGGCCAGACGGCGCCGGAGCCAUCCAGCAGCUCCAUGGAGCCUGAGACCUUGAGCUCCAUGCCCACCAG